UACAGAGGUCCCAAGCGUUGUUCGGAUUUACUGGGCGUAAAGGGUGCGUAGGCGGUCGGGUAAGUCUGGUGUGAAAUCUUCGAGCUUAACUCGGAAACUGCAUUGGAUACUAUUCGGCUAGAGAGUUGGAGGGGGGACUGGAAUACUUGGUGUAGCAGUGAAAUGCGUAGAUAUCAAGUGGAACACCAGUGGCGAAGGCGAGUCCCUGGACAACUUCUGACGCUGAGGCACGAAAGCUAGGGGAGCAAACAGG
rnacentral:rRNA from 1 species